GGUUUGUUUCUGUUCUUUAGGAUCAUCAUUGGGCCCAAGAAACUGGCACUACAUCCAUUUUGCAUGUUUCUGGGGCCACAGUUAGUGCUUAACAAUAUUUUUGAGUAUCUCACAUCCUGCUCUAGAGUGCUUUUGUAAUUGUGGCAUUUGGAAAUAGAAGGAUUUUUGACCCUAUGCCUGUAUGCCACAUCCAAAUCCACUGAUGGGCAUAAAAGAAACCAUAGAGAGACUGUACUGUGGGAUUGGACCCAAAGCAACAUCAUUUACCAAACUGGCCUUUGAGACACAUCUUCAAAGAAUGCUGGUUAAUAUGAAUGCUGCCUAUAAUGGGGCAGAGAUAUCUAGCUGAUCAGCCAGAUCCAUUGAUGUCACUAUAAGCUCACAGAAAUCAUGAGAAAAGCAAUAACGUGACAACUGAGCAUAAUCGCUCUCAAGUAAUAAACCUCUAUGGGAAAAAUAUAAGUGAUAAGAAAGAAUUCUACAAAAUAAGCAUAAUGAAAUUUAAUGAAUUAAAGUGAACACAGACGGCUCAACAAUAUUUAGAAAGUAUUUCAUGUUGUAAAUGAGAAACUCAAUAAUUCAAAUAAAAAUUAGUGUUAGAGGAAGAAAGGGAUUCCUUAAGGAGGCUGGAAGAGUGCUUAAUUAACAAACAUGAGGGCUGAAGCUGAGAUCCCAGCACAUAGAGCAAUCCAUGCACCUUGUGACUGCCAGUAACUAGCUUUGAGGGAUUGCAUACCCAUUUUGGCUUCCAAACAUUUGGUGUGUACCCUCCACACAUAUGUGCACACACAUAUACACACAUCUUUAAAAAUACAAAAGGUUAGUGAAACAGAGUAGGUUAAAAGAAAAAAACAACAACAAACGAUAGUAGAUAUAUAACAUACCAGAAUCUAAGAGCUAUACUAAAAGCAGUAUAUAUGAAGGCAAUUUAUUGUAAUAAACCCAAAAUAAAAGUUAAAUUACAAAUAAAUAACUUAAUUAUGCAUUUAGUAAGCAUAGUAAAACAAGAAUAAACCAAACACAAAUUAGUAAAAGGAAAAUGUAAUAAUCAGAACAGAAAUAAAUGGGCCCAAGAAACUGGCACUACAUCCAUUUUGCAUGUUUCUGGGGCCACAGUUAGUGCUUAACAAUAUUUUUGGGUAUCUCACAUCCUGCUCUAGAGUGCUUUUGUGAUUGUGGCAUUUGGAAAUAGAAGGAUUUUUGACCCUAUGCCUGUAUGCCACAUCCAAAUCCACUGAUGGGCAUAAAAGAAACCAUAGAGAGACUGUACUGUGGGAUUGGACCCAAAGCAAGAUCAAGUGAUCUGUGAUGGAUAAGCUUUUUUAAAAAUAAUAUUGACAAACCUCUAGUUAGAUUAAUCAGAAAAAAAUAGAGAAAACUCCCAAAUAAAUGCAAUUUCAAAUCAACAAACAUCUAAUAACUAUUAUAAAAUAUAAUUAGGAAUUUUAUGCAAGACUAUAUGAUAGCAGGAAAAUGUAAAACAAAAGGGCACAUUGUUUUGAACAUUUGACCCACUGAGAGUGAACACUGAUGACAUAGAAAAAUUGGCUAGGACAAUAAUAACUAACAAUAUUGAGCCUGGAGUGGUGAUACAUGUGUAUAAUCUUAGCACUGAGGAGGCGGAGUUGAGAGGAUCAGGAAUUCAAGGAAGGCCUCAGCAGUUGAGGCUAGUCUAGGGUGUAUGAGACCCCCUUUCAAAACAGUAACACUGAAACCAAACAUGAGACAAAAUAACCAAUAAGAAGGCAUCAUUAGUGAAAAAGACAUCCAAUAGAGAGAAAGCUAAGAACAGUUACUUCAUUGCUGAAUUAACAGGCUUUUAGAAGAAAGUAUUAAGUGUAUUAAUUCUUUUCCAUUUGUUCCAAAAAUUUGAAAGGUGGGGCAGCCUUCUAAACUCAUCAUCCUAAUAAAAAAAUCAGACAAAAACAUAACAACAAAACAUAACAACAAAAUUCCCUAUAGACCAGUGUCUCUGAUGAACAUAAAUUGUUUAUCAAAUCAUUCAGUUGAGGUGGUGGCUUGAAUAUAAAUUGUCUCCCACAAGCCCACAUAUUUAAGAGCUUGGUUUACAGGUAUAAUUGAUUUCCAAGAAGUAACCCUGGGAACUCUAAGCAACAGGUCAAUUCCUUAAUAGACUCCUAAUGUCAUGCAAAUUGGGAGGUGGUCAAAAGUAGGGAGUGGUGGGUAAUUGAGGAAGUAGGUUACUUCAUUUUCCUCAAAGUAUGUUUGUUACACAUCAAUGUAAUCCCCUCCAAAUACUAUUGACAUUCUUGAGAAAACUAGAUAAAGACAGCCUUAAAAUUGAUAUGAAAGCACAAACACCCGGAAUCAUCAGGAAUCCUGUAGACUAGAAAACUACAAGUAUUAUAACACCUAAUUUCAAGACAUACUGUUGAAGUGUUAUAACCCAAAUAAGCUGCUAUUGGCUAAAGAAAAUCACACAGACCAAUUGAAUAGAAGAGAUGCCAGAAAUGAACCAAUGUGUAUAUAGUCAGCUGAUUUCCAACAGAAGUGUUAAAGUCAAAUAUUUAAGAAACUCUUAGGCUGGGCAGUGUUGCCGAAUGCCUUUAAUCCAGCACUUGGGGGGCAGAGGCAGGCAGAUUUCUGAGUUCGAGGCCAGCCUGGUCUACAGAGAGUUCCAGGACAGCCAGGGCUACACAGAGAAACCCUGUCUCGAAAAACC
rnacentral:lncRNA from 1 species